ACGAACGCUGGCGGCGUGCCUAAUACAUGCAAGUCGAACGCUUCUUUUUCCACCGGAGCUUGCUCCACCGGAAAAAGAGGAGUGGCGAACGGGUGAGUAACACGUGGGUAACCUGCCCAUCAGAAGGGGAUAACACUUGGAAACAGGUGCUAAUACCGUAUAACAAUCGAAACCGCAUGGUUUUGAUUUGAAAGGCGCUUUCGGGUGUCGCUGAUGGAUGGACCCGCGGUGCAUUAGCUAGUUGGUGAGGUAACGGCUCACCAAGGCGACGAUGCAUAGCCGACCUGAGAGGGUGAUCGGCCACAUUGGGACUGAGACACGGCCCAAACUCCUACGGGAGGCAGCAGUAGGGAAUCUUCGGCAAUGGACGAAAGUCUGACCGAGCAACGCCGCGUGAGUGAAGAAGGUUUUCGGAUCGUAAAACUCUGUUGUUAGAGAAGAACAAGGAUGAGAGUAACUGUUCAUCCCUUGACGGUAUCUAACCAGAAAGCCACGGCUAACUACGUGCCAGCAGCCGCGGUAAUACGUAGGUGGCAAGCGUUGUCCGGAUUUAUUGGGCGUAAAGCGAGCGCAGGCGGUUUCUUAAGUCUGAUGUGAAAGCCCCCGGCUCAACCGGGGAGGGUCAUUGGAAACUGGGAGACUUGAGUGCAGAAGAGGAGAGUGGAAUUCCAUGUGUAGCGGUGAAAUGCGUAGAUAUAUGGAGGAACACCAGUGGCGAAGGCGGCUCUCUGGUCUGUAACUGACGCUGAGGCUCGAAAGCGUGGGGAGCAAACAGGAUUAGAUACCCUGGUAGUCCACGCCGUAAACGAUGAGUGCUAAGUGUUGGAGGGUUUCCGCCCUUCAGUGCUGCAGCUAACGCAUUAAGCACUCCGCCUGGGGAGUACGACCGCAAGGUUGAAACUCAAAGGAAUUGACGGGGGCCCGCACAAGCGGUGGAGCAUGUGGUUUAAUUCGAAGCAACGCGAAGAACCUUACCAGGUCUUGACAUCCUUUGACCACUCUAGAGAUAGAGCUUCCCCUUCGGGGGCAAAGUGACAGGUGGUGCAUGGUUGUCGUCAGCUCGUGUCGUGAGAUGUUGGGUUAAGUCCCGCAACGAGCGCAACCCUUAUUGCCAGUUACUACGAAAGAGGACUCUGGCGAGACUGCCGUUGACAAAACGGAGGAAGGUGGGGAUGACGUCAAAUCAUCAUGCCCCUUAUGACCUGGGCUACACACGUGCUACAAUGGGAAGUACAACGAGUCGCAAAGUCGCGAGGCUAAGCUAAUCUCUUAAAGCUUCUCUCAGUUCGGAUUGUAGGCUGCAACUCGCCUACAUGAAGCCGGAAUCGCUAGUAAUCGCGGAUCAGCACGCCGCGGUGAAUACGUUCCCGGGCCUUGUACACACCGCCCGUCACACCACGAGAGUUUGUAACACCCGAAGUCGGUGAGGUAACCUUUUGGAGCCAGCCGCCUAAGGUGGGAUAGAUGAUUGGGGUG
rnacentral:rRNA from 1 species